rnacentral:misc_RNA from 1 species
UACGUAGGUGGCAAGCGUUGUCCGGAUUUACUGGGCGUAAAGCGUAUGUAGGCGGAUUUUUAAGUAGGAAGUGAAAGGUUGGUGCUCAACACUAACACUGCUCCCUAUACUGGAAGUCUUGAAGGCCGGAGAGGAAAGCGGAACGAGACGUGUAGCGGUGAAAUGCGUUGAUAUGUCUCGGAACACCAAUGGCGAAGGCAGCUUUCUGGACGGUGGGUUUACCCUUAAAUUUGACGCUGAGAUACGAAAGCGUG